AAUAGAUACCCAGGUAGUCCACGCCGUAAACGAUGAGUGCUAAGUGUUAGAGGGUUUCCGCCCUUUAGUGCUGCAGCUAACGCAUUAAGCACUCCGCCUGGGGAGUACGGUCGCAAGACUGAAACUCAAAGGAAUUGACGGGGGCCCGCACAAGCGGUGGAGCAUGUGGUUUAAUUCGAAGCAACGCGAAGAACCUUACCAGGUCUUGACAUCCUCUGACAACUCUAGAGAUAGAGCGUUCCCCUUCGGGGGACAGAGUGACAGGUGGUGCAUGGUUGUCGUCAGCUCGUGUCGUGAGAUGUUGGGUUAAGUCCCGCAACGAGCGCAACCCUUGAUCUUAGUUGCCAGCAUUUAGUUGGGCACUCUAAGGUGACUGCCGGUGACAAACCGGAGGAAGGUGGGGAUGACGUCAAAUCAUCAUGCCCCUUAUGACCUGGGCUACACACGUGCUACAAUGGAUGGUACAAAGGGCUGCAAGACCGCGAGGUCAAGCCAACCCCAUAAAACCAUUCUCAGUUCGGA
rnacentral:rRNA from 1 species